CGAAAGCCUGACGGAGCAACGCCGCGUGAGGGAAGAAGGCCUCUGGGCUGUAAACCUCUUUUUUCAAGGAAGAAGCAAGUGACGGUACUUGAAGAAUCAGCAUCGGCUAACUCCGUGCCAGCAGCCGCGGUAAUACGGAGGAUGCAAGCGUUAUCCGGAAUCAUUGGGCGUAAAGCGUCCGCAGGUGGCUGUUCAAGUCUGCUGUUAAAGCGUGGAGCUUAACUCCAUAAUGGCAGUGGAAACUGAUUGGCUGGAGUGUGGUAGGGGCAGAGGGAAUUCCCGGUGUAGCGGUGAAAUGCGUAGAUAUCGGGAAGAACACCAGUGGCGAAGGCGCUCUGCUGGGCCAUAACUGACGCUCAUGGACGAAAGCCAGGGGAGCG
rnacentral:rRNA from 1 species